UCUAUCAGACAGCAAGGCCGAGAUCACGGCU
rnacentral:piRNA from 1 species